rnacentral:rRNA from 1 species
UGGGGAAUAUUGCACAAUGGGCGCAAGCCUGAUGCAGCGACGCCGCGUGGGGGAUGAGCGGCCUUCGGGUUGUAAACCUCUUUCAGCAGGGACGAAGCGAAAGUGACGGUACCUGCAGAAGAAGCACCGGCCAACUACGUGCCAGCAGCCGCGGUAAUACGUAGGGUGCGAGCGUUGUCCGGAAUUACUGGGCGUAAAGAGCUCGUAGGUGGUUUGUCGCGUUGUUCGUGAAAACCGGGGGCUUAACCCUCGGCGUGCGGGCGAUACGGGCAGACUAGAGUACUGCAGGGGAGACUGGAAUUCCUGGUGUAGCGGUGGAAUGCGCAGAUAUCAGGAGGAACACCGGUGGCGAAGGCGGGUCUCUGGGCAGUAACUGACGCUGAGGAGCGAAAGCGUGGGGAGCGAACAGGAUUAGAUACCCUGGUAGUCCACGCCGUAAACGGUGGGUACUAGGUGUGGGUUUCCUUCCUUGGGAUCCGUGCCGUAGCUAACGCAUUAAGUACCCCGCCUGGGGAGUACGGCCGCAAGGCUAAAACUCAAAUGAAUUGACGGGGGUCAUAGCUGUUUCCU